rnacentral:rRNA from 1 species
UACGGGAGGCAGCAGUGGGGAAUAUUCCACAGGGGGAGAAACGUGCUGACUCGCAGCCGACCGCCGCGUGGACGAAGAAGUUCUUGCGGGUAGAAAGCUCUUUUCGAAGGAAAGAAAUGACGUCC